UACGGGGGGGCAAGCGUUGUUCGGAAUUACUGGGCGUAAAGGGCUCGUAGGCGGCCAACUAAGUCAGACGUGAAAUCCCUCGGCUUAACCGGGGAACUGCGUCUGAUACUGGAUGGCUUGAGUUUGGGAGAGGAUGCGGAAUUCCAGGUGUAGCGGUGAAAUGCGUAGAUAUCUGGAGGAACACCGGUGGCGAAGGCGGCAUCCUGGAC
rnacentral:rRNA from 1 species